rnacentral:piRNA from 1 species
GGUAGCUGGACGUACAAUGUUGAAGU